AUGUCGACGGCCGACAUCGCCUGCCUCGAGCACGUCAUGGACUGCUGCCUCCCGCCCUCCCCGGUCUCCCCCGCCGCCCACCUCUCCGCCUCCACCUCCUCCUCCUCCAGCGAGGACCGCAUCAGCGCGCUCCCCGACACCCUCCUGCGCAACGUCGUCUCCCGCCUCCCCGUCAAGGACGCCGCCCGCACCGGCGCGCUCUCGCACCGCUGGCGCGGGCUCUGGCGCGCCACCCCGCUGGCCCUCGACGACGCCCACCUCCUCCCGUCCCCCGCCCCCGCCGCCGCGUUGGUGUCCCGCGUCCUCGCCUCCCACCCGGGCCCCUUCCGCGCCGUCCGCAUCGCCGAGAUCCGCGUCGACGAGUCCAACGAGGAGGCGCUCCUCCCGGAGUGGCUCCGCCACCUCGCCGACAAGGGCGUGGAGGACCUCACCCUCGUCAACCGCCCCUACUCCUUCGACGUGCCCGUGCAGCUGCCCGCGACCCUCCUCCGCUGCGGCGCCUCGCUCCGCCGCCUCUACCUCGGCGUCUGGCUCUUCCCCUUCACCACCGGCCUCCUGCGCGGCCCCGACGUCUUCCCCCACCUCCAGGAGCUCGGCCUCUGCCACGGCAUCACGGAGGAGCGCGACCUGGAGUACGUGCUCGCCUGCAGCCCCAAGCUGGAGACUCUGGCGCUCAUCUCCAACUACGGCUACCCCGACCGCGUCCGCAUCGGCAGCCGCAGCCUCCGUUGCCUGGUGCUCUGGCAUUCCUUGGCGGACGAGGUCGCCGCCGUGUCCGCCCCAAAUCUGCAGCGCAUCAUUAUCUACUGUACGCACCCCAGUGAGGAUGACGGGGUCACCAAGGUCAGGAUCGGCCAUGCUCCCCAGCUCGCCGUGCUCGGCUACUUGGACACGGCCACCCACGAGCUUGAGAUCGGCAACACCAUCAUCAAGGCUGGGCUGACAAACCCAAAUACAGUGGUUCCAAGUGUGAAGGUGUUGGCUCUGAAGGUCCGUUUCAGAGUGCCCAAAGAAGUCAGAACUUUGCUGUGUUUCUUGAGAUGCUUCCCUGGAGUGGAGACCUUACACAUCAUGGCUUCCGACAACGACACCGACCACUACGAUGACCCGGGUGAAGUCAAGCCCAGCGACAUGCUCAAGUCCACAUUCUGGCAGGGGGUCGGUCCGAUCAAAUGA
rnacentral:rRNA from 1 species